rnacentral:rRNA from 1 species
GACGAACGCUGGCGGCGUGCUUAACACAUGCAAGUCGAACGGAAAGGCCCUGCUUUUGUGGGGUGCUCGAGUGGCGAACGGGUGAGUAACACGUGAGUAACCUGCCCUUGACUUUGGGAUAACUUCAGGAAACUGGGGCUAAUACCGGAUAGGAGCUCCUGCUGCAUGGUGGGGGUUGGAAAGUUUCGGCGGUUGGGGAUGGACUCGCGGCUUAUCAGCUUGUUGGUGGGGUAGUGGCUUACCAAGGCUUUGACGGGUAGCCGGCCUGAGAGGGUGACCGGGGACACUUGGACUGAGAUACGGCCCAGAGUCCUACGGGAGGGAGCGGUGGGGAAUUUUACCCAAUUGGCCGGAGGCUGGUGCAACAACGGCGCGUGCGGGAUGACGGCCUUCGGGUUGUAAACCGCUUUCGCCUGUGACGAAGCGUGAGUGACGGUAAUGGGUAAAGAAGCACCGGCUAACUACGUG